UGCAGUCGAACGGCAGCACAGAGGAGCUUGCUCCUUGGGUGGCGAGUGGCGGACGGGUGAGGAAUACAUCGGAAUCUACUUUGUCGUGGGGGAUAACGUAGGGAAACUUACGCUAAUACCGCAUACGACCUACGGGUGAAAGCAGGGGACCUUCGGGCCUUGCGCGAUUGAAUGAGCCGAUGUCGGAUUAGCUAGUUGGCGGGGUAAAGGCCCACCAAGGCGACGAUCCGUAGCUGGUCUGAGAGGAUGAUCAGCCACACUGGAACUGAGACACGGUCCAGACUCCUACGGGAGGCAGCAGUGGGGAAUAUUGGACAAUGGGCGCAAGCCUGAUCCAGCCAUACCGCGUGGGUGAAGAAGGCCUUCGGGUUGUAAAGCCCUUUUGUUGGGAAAGAAAUCCAGCUGGCUAAUACCCGGUUGGGAUGACGGUACCCAAAGAAUAAGCACCGGCUAACUUCGUGCCAGCAGCCGCGGUAAUACGAAGGGUGCAAGCGUUACUCGGAAUUACUGGGCGUAAAGCGUGCGUAGGUGGUCGUUUAAGUCCGUUGUGAAAGCCCUGGGCUCAACCUGGGAACUGCAGUGGAUACUGGGCGACUAGAGUGUGGUAGAGGGUAGCGGAAUUCCUGGUGUAGCAGUGAAAUGCGUAGAGAUCAAGAGGAACAUCCAUGGCGAACGCAGCUACCUGGACCAACACUGACACUGAGGCACGAAAGCGUGGGGAGCAAACAAGAUUAGAUACCCUGGUAGUCCACGCCCUAAACGAUGCAACUGGAUGUUGGGUGCAAUUUGGCACGCAGUAUCGAAGCUAACGCGUUAAGUUCGCCGCCUGGGGGAGUACGUCGCAAGACUGAAACUCAAAGGAAUUGACGGGGGCCCGCACAAGCGGUGGAGUAUGUGGUUUAAUUCGAU
rnacentral:rRNA from 1 species